rnacentral:rRNA from 1 species
UAGGGAAUCUUAGACAAUGGGGGAAACCCUGAUCUAGCCAUGCCGCGUGUGUGAUGAAGGCCUUAGGGUCGUAAAGCACUUUCGCCAGAGAUGAUAAUGACCAGUAUCUGGUAAAGAAACCCCGGCUAACUCCGUG